rnacentral:rRNA from 2 species
AAUCCCGAUGGCGAAGGCAGCCAUCUGGCCUAAUACUGACGCUGAGGUACGAAAGCAUGGGGGAGCAACCAGGAUUAGAUACCCUGGUAGUCCAUGCCGUAAACGAUGUCUACUAGCCGUUGGGGCCUUUGAGGCUUUAGUGGCGCAGCUAACGCGAUAAGUAGACCGCCUGGGGAGUACGGUCGCAAGACUAAAACUCAAAUGAAUUGACGGGGGCCCGCACAAGCGGUGGAGCAUGUGGUUUAAUUCGAUGCAACGCGAAGAACCUUACCUGGUCUUGACAUAGUAAGAACUUUCCAGAGAUGGAUUGGUGCCUUCGGGAACUUACAUACAGGUGCUGCAUGGCUGUCGUCAGCUCGUGUCGUGAGAUGUUGGGUUAAGUCCCGCAACGAGCGCAACCCUUUUCCUUAUUUGCCAGCACUUCGGGUGGGAACUUUAAGGAUACUGCCAGUGACAAACUGGAGGAAGGCGGGGACGACGUCAAGUCAUCAUGGCCCUUACGACCAGGGCUACACACGUGCUACAAUGGUCGGUACAAAGGGUUGCUACCUAGCGAUAGGAUGCUAAUCUCAAAAAGCCGAUCGUAGUCCGGAUUGGAGUCUGCA